UGCUUGUUGCCAGGUUUUGUGUCCAGGGUGGUCACACAUGUCUACUGAACUGAGGCCGUGCUGAUGGCAAUACCCUUGCUCUUCCAAGGUGCAGAUCUUCUUGAAGCUCAGGGCAUCAUGACAAAUUGGCAUACACAAAGCGGGCAUGGUUGCUACGAUUUGCUCAGGGUCGUUGUCAAGUCACCUUGCAAGAUAACAGCCUGCUGAGUCACCGCUAGCACCUAGACUUACUUUCAGCAAGGAGUCCAACACUACUAGCGGAAAUCCUGUGCCUCUAACAAGCUCAGCCUCUCUGUGGGGCGUUCUUCGGGAUCCAUCCGCAGGAGCGCCUGUCCUUUGGGAGGAAGAAGAGCCCACUGGGGUCAUUUGCCUUGGUCUGCUCUCUUCGCUAGAUCCACCUAAAGAUUGUUGCAGCCCUCAGUGUCCACGGAGAAGCCCAGGCUGGAGCACCGGAGACGGCCAUGUGCAGAGAUGCCAGGCACUGUCUGAUUGUGAUUGCAGGAAACUGGAGCCCACACAGAACUGGUUGUCGCAGUAGGAGCUGGAAUAAGAGACAGGUGAGGCUGGGAGGAUUUCAACAGGUACCCAAGAAA
rnacentral:lncRNA from 1 species